UACGUAGGGUGCGAGCGUUGUUCGGAAUUACUGGGCGUAAAGGGCUCGUAGGUGGCCAACUAAGUCAGACGUGAAAUCCCUCAGCUUAACUGGGGAACUGCGUCUGAUACUGGAUGGCUUGAGUUUGGGAGAGGGAUGCGGAAUUCCAGGUGUAGCGGUGAAAUGCGUAGAUAUCUGGAGGAACACCGGUGGCGAAGGCGGCAUCCUGGACCAAUACUGACACUGAGGAGCGAAAGCCAGGGGAGCAAACAGGG
rnacentral:rRNA from 1 species